CCUUAAUCCUGUCUAAAAACCCUUACUUGGUCAGACUGGGACAGUGCGUGGCAAGGCACUCAGCCUGCCUUCAGAGACAGAGUCAAGGGUUUCGAAACUCUGCAACCACUGCCUGAGUCUUUCCUUCUUUCCUCCGGGGUUUCCGCUACUCCACUGGGUCACAAUGCAAUAAUAACUUUACAUUCAGGAAUUCCCAGUGCCAUGCUGGUGAUGCCACAGACAGUAUGUGUACAACGGUUAUGGUGCUCAGUACCCUUGCUGUACUACUGCGGCGACGAUUCUGCAACAAAGUGCAGCCGUAGGUAUUCCUCCAACCUGCCCCAACGCUCUCCUCCAUGAUCUAUGUCUGAAAUACAAUAGGCGGGAGAACAAACAGGAAUGACACUGGCUCACAGAGCUACUAACUUUGUCACUUUUAGAUACAGGCAGGGCAUCCACCAGUUUAUUUUCUUUAAAUACUAAUUUCAAAUGUUCGUAUUAUUUUUCUAUUUCCUCUGCCAGAUUUCUUUAGUGUCUAAACUGUUUGGUUAUUUAUUUAUUUUUUGUCUGUUAUUUGCUUGUUAGUUCUGUUUUGUUUGUAUUUUUGUCAAAUUAAUCUUGCUUUUUGUGCUUCAUGUGACUUAUUGUAUUCUCACCUUUUAGAGUUUCUGAGGGAUCUGAUGAUAACCCUACUGGUGGACAAAGGGUGACAGGUGUAUCAACAGGAAGGUGAGUUAUGUUAGGGGAUACAUGAUGUAUUUACUAGGAAAAAGUCAGCUAAGAAAUUAUUUUGUCUGAAGUCUGUUUUAUUAUAUUUUAUGUACUAUCUGCUAGACCAGGGAUUUCCAACUCAGUCCCUUGCCAGUCCAGGAUUUAGGGAUUACCCUGUUGGGUCUAAAGUGUUUUUGUUUUCUUCUUCUAAAAAUACUUCAGACACAACUGAGUAAUCCCUAAAUCCCGGACUGUUAGGGGGUACUCGAGGACUGGAUUGGGAACCACUGUACUAGACUAUUGUGUUGAACUGUACGGUUCUAUUAAAAUAUUUACAAAUACAAUACUAACCAGAUAUACACCUAUGUAUAUAGUAGGAGCUGCAAACUCUGCACAAUCUAGCACAGUGGAAGUUUUAUACAAAGUCUUUAACCAGUAUAUGGAAUAUUGGGAACUUCAUUUUGAACUUUCUUUCUAACAAUCAGUCGUUCGGUAAAUAACAAGCAAGAUGGGGUAAUCAAAGGUAGAGGAAUUUGGCAAUAGAAGAUAAAAUGUAUGUAUGUAUGUAUGUAUAUAUAUAUAUAUAUAUAUAUUUAUAUAUAUAUAUAUAUAUAUAUAUAUAUAUAUAUUUAUAUAUAUAUAUAUAUAUAUAUAUAUAUAUAUAGGCAAACUACGCAAGGAAAGCUGAGGAAUGUUAGCAGGGGGCAUUUUAAAACAUUUUCUAUCACAUUGCAAUGGCCGGCCUGUGCAAUUAUAAAGCACAUUGCCUAUUCUUUGUGAUGUGAACUCGGAUAGGGGUGGGGGUAAAGAUGGUAAAUGGAAGCUCAGAGUUAUAUAAGCCAUUGUACAAAAGUUGCAUUAACACAGAUGUACUGUGUCUUAGCAUUUAAAACAAGGGAUAAGCAAGCUGGUCUAAAAAUAAUCCAUUUGUGGGUCUGAUUUCUAGACAGUGGAUAGUACUCUGUAUAUAAUUUCUAAUCUCAAUGUAACCUCUCCUAUGUGUUCUAUUGAAUUACUCCCAACAACUAAUUAUGUUGCUCCAUGUAAAAAUCAUCAUAUAUUUUUUGCUAUAGGUUCUAAGCUGCCAAUUUAAUUAUUCCCAGUGCUCUAUAAUUACUUAUUUAUUUCCUGCAAAUUUCCCCUACUUAUAAUUCUUUUUUUGCUCCAUAUAAUCUCUCCUUGAAAUUUCUUAAUAAAAGUCUUAAUAUCAGCCUUAAUUAUAACCCAUCCUUAUUGCCCUGUAUAACCUUUCCCUAUUGCUAUUUGCUGCUACACAAUGGAAAUACUCCCUAACUCCUUCUAUUGCCCAAUAUACCAUGGUCUCCUUAAAACAGUAUCCUCCAGUUCCAUACGACCUCUGUCUAUGCUUAUUUGUGCUGUUCUCUUUAAAAACACCCUACAACGUUUCAUGCCCUCUAUAACAUCCUAAUAUAAAAUGUCUCUUUAAGUCCUCAUUGUUCCUUCUCACUGUAAAUCCUCCUUUAGCUCUAUAUGGUCCACCCAAUUGGUCAUGUUGCUUUACAUAACCCAAUGUCAUUAUUUCCCUUUUUGCUCUAUAAAACCCCAUCCUAUAAGUCGUACUGUUGCUGUAUAUAACGUAUCACUAUAACUGAUUCUAUUGCUAUUAAAACCUUCCUAUAACUCUUCAAAUUCCAUAUAAUCUCCCCUUGCUCCAUAUGAACCCCCAGUAUAAUCCUUCUCAUCUCUUGCUUCAUAUAAUCGCUCUCUGGUACAUAUCAGAGUGACAAACCUCAAAGUAAGUUUAAACAUAAAGGGACCCUAGCCAGCCGUCUAGGGCGCAGGGUUUAAACAGGGGCACAGGAACCAUGAUUUUGCUUGGCCCCAUUAACCAUUCCUAUGGGAGGGAUGAAGGGAGCCCAAACUUCACCGGUAAACUGCGUAGGGCUUCUGGGGAUCUUAAUCCAUUUCUUCCAAGCCUCUUUUGCUGUGGAAAUAUAUGCAGGAGCUCUUCAAACCUCACCAAAUGUUUGUCCUAGCCAUAGUCCUAGGUCCAGGCGUGUGGACUGCAAUUUCUAUAGGGAUUUUAAAUGUCAUUGAAUGUUGCAGAAUUAUGUAGUGUACAUUUGAUCUCUUGAAAAAAAAUUACAAGAUUUUUAAAUAAUAAAAAAAAUGUAUAGCUUAAAAAAACAACCAAACUUUGCUCUGAUAAAGUUCCAUACAUACUACGAACAUGUUUGGUGUAGUAUAUGUUGAUUUUAUAUAUCAUAUAAGAGACCCCCUAAGUCUCCACUUCUUUAAGAAAUCAUUAAAAUGGGUUUUCUUUCAAGAAAACAUCAAACAACCAUCAUCUUCUUUCCUGUGUCGUUUCGCAGCCCCCACCUCCACCUUCUGCUCUUCACUAACCUGCUUCUCUCUCCCUUCUUCAAGUAUAUCCAUAAAUAUUAAAAUGUUGUAAAUGAACUUUGCAAGACACACUUUACCUUUUGUAUAAUUAUACCCUAUGCACUUUAGAUCGUAAGCUCAUUUGAUCAGAUCUUUUGUUUUGGUUUGUUCAAACUUGUCUUGAUGUAAUUACCUCUACAUAUUCCACUUGUACAGUGCUGCAUAAAAUGUUGUCACUUCAUAAGUAAUAAUAUUCACUGAUCUCAUGCAAGGGCAGAGGAGCAUAAGGAAAGUUUAAAUAAAUGUCUUAUUUUCCUCUCUAAAUCAAACAAAAACAACGUUAGUUAGCAAUUCUCUCAAAGCAGAUCACUUACUAAUCCUCUAAUUAGUAUUAUUACUGGCAUUUAUAAAGUGCCAACAUAUUCUGGAGCGCUGUACAACUGGGGGGAAAAAAGUACAAUAUGCGCAGGCCAACACAGAAGGUAAGGAGUGUCCUGCCAUGAGCUGUAAUCUACCCACUGAAGCUCUUUUAUAAGAAGAACUAAAAUCUAAUAAUAUAGACUGAUUAAUCAUUGUGUGUGUGUGGGGCGGGGGGAGGGAGGAGAGGUAAAUAGUUUUCUCCUCUAAGCUGCAUAUAUCAACAUAAAAUAACUGUAGGUGCAGCCAGCACCCUGCCAUUGCUUUCUCUUGGCCGUAUUAUUUCCCUGGCACAUAUCUGCGCUCUUUGUGCCCAGCUAAAAGCACUAUCAGUUGUCACUUUGCUGGUAUAGAAACUUGAGAUCUCAGCCUGACAAGAUGUCACAGUGAAAAGUUAGAGGAGCUAUAGGGAAGGAGGAUUAUAAAGCAUAAUAGACUGUGUUGCAGAGAAUGAAUGAGAUUAACAAGGUGACCUAUAAAAAUAAAGAAACAUAUGAUUAAUUGUGACGUAUUACAUUUUGUAUCGCUGAGAUACGUUGUUAAUUCUUCUGUGCAGUGGUGCCAACGUGCAGCUCCUAGCUGCAAAAUAAGUGUGAAAAUGUGCACCUUGCGAGCAGGCACUGCUGUCCCUUGCAUCACUUGCAAGGGUAUUACAGUCUGAAGGCGAUAAAGUGACCCCCUCCCCCUGAUUCACCCCAUCCGUGGAAGAGAAAUGUAGUAGGGGGGAGGUGUGGAGCUGGUUAAGGAGACUCUGUAGUCCAGUCACGCUGAGGCUGAGCUCCAGAGCGCAUUGCCUGUGGAGGCAGAGCAUGCUGGGAGAUUGUUAGAUGGGGAGCAGCGGGGAGCUACAGCAGAUUACAAAUACACAGCAUCAAUCUUUACUGCAGAGAGGGGAGGGGGAUGUGGUGUCCAGGGAUAUGCAUAAGACCCUGCGCUUUAACUGAGCAUGUGUAUGUGUGUGCUUGUGUGCAUGUAUGUGAAUAUAUAUACACACACACGAAUGCAUUACCAAAAAGCUACAACCUAGUCAUAGUUGAGUGUUAAUAAUCUGUAUGCUCUUGCCCUGUACCAGUUAAGAGAAAUAUUUCUAUUAUCAUAUUUAAAUAAAUAUAUGUCCACACAUUUUUCUGUAUGUUUAUAUGAGUAUGCAUUGGCACAACCAGACACGGCCAUAAUAUCACACAUGUAGGUCUGUUUACCAGGCAUUCAACUGACUAAAUUAGUUAAGGUAGGGGGGGAAAAAUUGCAUGACUAAAAUAUUUUUUGAUUGUUAAUCAUAGGGAGUCUUGACGCUGUUUAGAUUCCGUGCUGACUUAAGGAUAAAUGGCCACAAGCAGAGACACAGUACUAUGUAUAUUUAGGUUACAGUGGAAAGGGGUAAGAGAGUGUUCACAGCUGUAUUUGCAUUGCCAUAGGUAUUAGGCAAUAUUCAAGGGCUUUAGUUGCCAAAAGAUAGAUAGAUCCGCAGCAAUUACAGACAGCUGGUAAUUGAUCAAUAACAGCUGGGGUCCAUAUUAUGGCCACACAUGAUCUAGAAGUUUAAUAUAUUAAGAUGAAAUACAGGCUUUCCAACUGCUCUGUUUUGGCAGGGCAGUCCCUAUUUCAGAAUCCUGUCCCAGAAUCCCUAGUUUGUUCCUUGAUGUACCAUUUGUGGAAACACCAGAAAACUGUCCCCAUAAAGUAUAACGCAAGAGCAUCGUUAGACAUGCGCACUCAACGUUCUUGGCAUUCCUGGACCAUGUAGGAAGUGCUGUAACAGUCAGGUGAUACACAAUGAGGGCAGAUUGUUCAGGUCUAGAGAUCAGACGCUCAGAACAUGAAGUAUAGUGAACAUUAAAUUAUACUAAGUAAGAGACAUUUGAUAUAUCAUAAUUACAAGUAUACCAUUGUUUGUUGCACAUGUAGAUCAAAUUAAUUUCUAUACACUAUAGCAGCGUAGCCAGUUAUAGAAUAAGAGGCACACCCAAAAAAAUAUUAUCCCUAAAGGGACACUAUCAGCACCAAAACAAGUUUAGCUUAAUGGGGUAGAUUUGGUGUGUAGAUCAUGCCCCUGCGGUCUAACUGCUCAACUCUCAGUAAUUUAGGAGUUAAAUCACUUUGUUCAUACCUCCCUGCAUGUGACCUACACAGCCUUCCUAAACACUUUAAAAAGAGAUCUAAUGUUUAAACUUACUUUAUUGCGCGGUCAGUUUAGUUUAGAAUUUAUCUUGCUUUAAUAGCCUGCUAGAGCCUACAGGAGCCUCCCGUGUGUGAUUAAAGUUCGAUUAACAUAGCAGGAUAUAAAAACUUCUAAAGCGAACACACUGUACAGAUUGAAAAUAAUACUAUGUUUUCAUUUAGACCGUGUGAGUCACAGCCAGAGGAGGUGUGGCUAGGGCUGCAUAAACAGAAACAAAAAUGACUUUACUCCUAAAUGGCAAGGAAAUGAGCAGUGAGACUUCAUGGCAUGAUCUAUACACCAAAUUACUCACUUUGAAAUUGUCAGCACAUCCAGAAAAAUAAAAUAUAUAUUGUUUGGCAAAGAUCUUGUCUGUAAAGUACCUUUCUUCCCAAUAAGCUGGUAAUAAAAACAAACCAGCAUUAUAAUAUUGGAAAUUUAAGUGAACUCAUGCAACCUCUGCCAUUCUAGAUAUUGCAGGCCACAUCCACUUGCUGAGCAUCAUGGGAGAUGUGGUCCAUAAGUAUGGCAAAGGUGCUCCAUCUCUGCCUUACAGUCCAUCUUUAUAGAACAUAUGUACAGCAUGUGAGGCAGAUUGCGUGAGAAGAAUAAUAUGGGGAGUGGAGAGGUUUAUCUUACGGAAAUUUGAGUAAUUCUACUUAUCAGAUCUUAAUACAUUUAUACUCCUUUAUAUGCUUUUCCUAGUCCCCUUUGGCAAUGCUAUGUGUUGCUUUGUUUAAGUGUUUUCUGAUUAUGUCAAAUGCAAUAUGAGAAGACAUACUUUUUUUUCUGAAUUAACCAAAAGAAAUCUGAAAUAAUUUUAUGAAGCCUAUUUUUUUUUCCAACAUCAAUACUGUUAUGGGCGUACAAUUAUAAAUACAAAUGAUCUAUUGCAUUGCAUGUUCCGUAGCUACAUGUUUUUGUAAUCAGGAAUGGCCUAAAGCCAUACAUCCACACUUAAGCCUACGAGAACGUUAGAGGCCAACGAAUGCUGCGUUUAGUCAAGGGAUUUAUUACAAUAUUUUAGGGAUGUGCAAAUAAUUAUCUUGAUGGCUAGUUGCACACCCAUACAUGAUGUUAAAUGCGCUUACAGACCUUUCAGGAGGUAGCCUGUUACCAUUGAAGGAAUAAAGUAUGCUUUUAGUUCACUUUUAUAUGAAGGAAUAAAUUAUGUGUUUUUUCAUAAACUGUUUUAUAUUAUUCCCUUGUUAACUUUAAAUAUUUUAUAAUCUGAACGUUGUGUCUGUCUUUGCACCUCUACCUCAUUCUCACUGCAGGUCUGGACUGUAGGUGUGUCAUUUUUCCUGUUCAGUAUGGCUAGUUAAGUGGUAAGUUGAACUACCUAAUACACAGAACUUUUGUAAAUCAGUGUGAAUGUCAGGCUCUGGGCAGGGAUAAAUGUAAUUAAGAUACAUUGAAAGAUGAUCUAUUUAUAUGUUAAUGUUAUUUUACUUCUAAGUGUCAACAAAGCCAAACAGAAAAUCCAGAUGUUUGGUGACUCAAGUUUUGACACAAAGGAACAAAAAAUUAGAAAGGUCCUGCUUAAGCAAGCUUACAGUCUUAAAAGAUAAAAUGACAGGUGUACAAUCCAUAUUCAAGUAUAGGCAUAUUUCUAUAAACUAUCAGGUUCACUCACUUAGGUGGAAAUUAACAGGAAUUCAAAGGGAAUUUUAAAUUUAAAGCCAAAGUAGCCAAACUGGAAUUAUAGCUGACUUGACCAAUUUGGCUAUUUUUGAUAAAGGGACACUAUAGUCACCAAAACAACUUUAACUUAAUAAAGCAGUUUUGGUGUAUAGACCAUGCCUCUGAAGUCUUACUACUCAGUUAUCUGCCCAUUAGGAGUUAAAUCUCUUUUGUUUCUGUUUAUGCAGCCCUAGCCUCUCCACCCCUGACUAGGAGUGACACAUCCUGCAUGAAAACAAAAUGGUUUCGUUUUCAGUCAGAUGUUUACUUGUUUUAGAAGGUUAUAUCUCCUGCUCUGUAAAUUGAACUUUAAUCAAACAGAUAGGGCUCCUGCAGGGUCUGGAAUGGUAUUAACAGAGCAGGAGACAUGCUAAAUUAAAAAGACUAUACGAUAAAAGAAGUGUAAACAUUAUAUCUCACUUUACAGGAAGUGUUUAGGAAGGCUGUGUAGGUCACAUUCAGGGAGGUGUGACAAGAGCUGCAUAAACAUAGUUGUAUAACUUGUAAAUGACAUAAAAUUGAGGCGCAGUGGGACUUCAUGGGGCAUGUUUUGGUGACUAUAAUGUCCCUUUAAAUUUGAAAUUUACUUUGAAAUCACUUUGAACUCCCAACAAGUCUCAUUUUAGUGAAUAACCCUGUAUAUUACCAAACAUGUGGUUAGAACAGAUAGUGAAGUGAUGAUUUGGGUGAGAUUCUGCAGGAACAACUUUUGGAAGGAGAUAAGGAAGUUGACACACUUCCCCGAAGAAAAUAAAAUUUGAAAUCGUAUAUACAAGAAUAGGAGUUGGCAAUAAUAGCAAAAGUCCAUCAAAGAUAAUCAGUGGAACAGAGAGAAUGGUUGGGAUUCUGAACUGAAUGGGGGUGAGAUGGUUAAAUGGGAGACCAUUUAUUUGGUAAUAAAACCCUUGCUGAGCGUUAAGUUUCUGGUAUCACUAAAUACAUAACCAUAUCAAUGUAUUCUUUCCUUUCCAUAGUGUGUUUCAUUGAACUGUUAUCCUAAUAUGAAUUUGGGCAAUUCUGUGACUGUUCCAGAUUCCAUUCUGCCCAAGUGAAAAAAAAUGUAACCUAGGGGAUCAGUGAUCAAGACCUACAGAGACCUGCCCAUUCUUUAUCACUCUCAAGUUCAUGUUUGAGUGACAAGGACAUUGGUCCCUCAUCCAGGUGACAUGUACCAGAUGGCUUUUUGGCUAGAGAGAGAUUAAAGGCUUUUGCAUCCAGUUAAGUGGCUGUUGUGGAUUUCUUCAUUAUCUGAGGGUUAGAGGUUAAAACCGCUGACUGCAAUGAUCCUGCAAACUAAUUACGCAUGAAAUCAAAAGAAAAGUGACAAUCUACAUUUUCAUGUUGGGUUUAUUUUUUUGGAAAGCGUUGACUAGCCGCAACCACUUAGAUGAUAAAUCCAACCUUUAGUUCAUUAUAAAGCAGCAGGAAAGACCUAUUACAUGUUGUCUGCUAAUGUUAAUCCUAAAGCCCUGCAGGUGGCCAAAAUAAUUGAACCUUGUAAGAUCCACCAGUAGAAAACAAUUUAACUCAGUAGGUAUUGAGUUUGGCAUCGACACUGCAUUCUGCUGAAGAAAUAUGUUUCUGUUGAUGUUCUAGUCAUUUUCACUUGGCUGCAGAACAACAAAUAGAUAUUCAUCUAAGCAGACAUUGGGGUUUUAUUUGUUGCCCACGUUAGUAGCUCAACUUGUGAAGAUUUGUUGUGUAUAUUAAAGGACAACUUAAGGCAUGUUUGUAUUCCUAACACUUUAGUGUGCCUUUAACAAAAUUAUGCAGUUGGAUUAAAAAAUUAUUCAUCCCCCAUUGAACAUCAUGUUUAUUGUCAAAAUGUACAGACUUUUAGCUGUUUGAAAUGAACAAAUAAAAAAAAUAAAAAAUUGAAAUAGCUCAACACAAUAAAUGCUUCAAGUGGUUUCCCCGAAUGCAACUGAAAAUGCAACAUAUAAUGACUUCUCCAGUCUCAUAAUUAUUCAACCCCCUGAAUAUCAUCCCUCACAACAGCACAAGUAUGCAAAACAGGUGUUGUCUCAAGCACACCUGAUGCAACUUAUCAAGGCUUCAUCCUUGAGCUGGAACACUUGAAAUACCUGAACUGGCUAGGGUUUGUUGAGUGUCACGUUUAACUCCUUGUUAUAAAUAUGGCUUAGUCAAAAGAAGAGAUGGUCGCCCUUCACAAACAAGGAACAGGAUACAAAAAGAAAGCAAAGGAACUGAAUAUUCCUAGAGACACCAUUGGAAGCAUAGUUCGCGCAUGCAAAAUUGAAGGCACAGUGGCUACACUACCUAGACGGGGCAGAAAAAAGGAGCUAUCAAUGGCUGCAACCAGAUUUCUGAUAAGGCAGGUCAUGAAAAAUUCUCGAGUAACUGCAAAAGAUCUGCACCAAGACUUGAGGGGAACACACAGAGAUUCCAGUAAGCAAAGUAAGGCACAUACUAAACAGAGACGGUUUCCAUGCCAGAACUCCAAGAUGUGCACCACUACUGACCCAAAAGCACAAUAAACAUCGGCUCCAAUAUGCUUAAAAUAAUAAUAUGCUCAUAUAAACAAGCCACAGAAGUUUUGUGAUUCUGUUCUGUGGAGCGAUGAAACAAAACUGGAAUUGGAUCAGCGGUAUGUCCGGAGGAAGAAGAAUGAAGCAUGUGCUGAAAAGAACACACUGCCUACAGUUAAGCAUGGUGGUGGCUCAGUAAUGCCCUGGGACAUCCUCUGGCACUUGAAACCUGCAGGGUGUGGAAGUUUAGAUGGAUUAGUUGAAGUAUCCAGAAAUCUAUCCUAGGAGAAAACAUCACGCCUUCUGUGAGGGAGCUGGAGCUUGGGUGUCAUUGGACCUUCCAACAAGACGAUGAUCCCAAGCAUACCUCAAAUUCCAUCAAGGCUUGAUUGCAAAAUAAUUCCUGGAAAAUUAUACAGUGGCCAUCACAGUCACCUGACUUGAACUCCAUAGAAAAUUUCUGGUGGGAUUUGAAGAAGUUUGUUGCAGCGCGCAAACCCAAGCAUAUUACUGAACUGGAGGCCAUUGCUCAUAAGCAAAGGGCUAAUAUUACUCAGAAACGCUGCCAGAAGCUGGUGUCUGGCUAUGCAUUUCAUUUUCAGCAGGUCAUAACAACAAAAGGCAAGUACUAAUGAAGGGGCUGAAUAAUUUUGAGACUGGAGACGUCAUUAUAAGUUGCAUUUUCAGUUGAAUUUGGGGAAACCACUUGAAGUAUUUGUUGUGUUGAGCUAUUUCAAUGGCUAUUGUUUUAUUUGUUUGUUGCAAAAGGCUGAACGUCUGUAAAUGUUUACAUUAAACCUGAUUUUCAAUGAGUAUUGAACAAUUUGAUUACAACUGUAAUAUUGUGAUAUAAGUUAUCAGUAAGCAUCGAACUUCUAUAGCUGACAUGGUGUCAACUUUGUCCACAGUGUAAAGUGCACAUGUCAAAAAAACAUGAAUUGGUGUCAUUCAACAGGGAAUAAAAUGCCAUCUGUACUCCACAAAAGCCAAAGUUGAUGCAUAUAUGCAGCCGAUGCAUAUUUCACACUGUUUGUAAUUUUUUGCCUUGACCACUAUGCAGUCAAUACAGUGGUAAAAAAAUAUGGCAUCCAUUGGAGGCUGCACACUAUUAAUUUUGUACUCAUAAGGCUUUAGGCUUUAGCUUAUCUUCCAUAGGCAAUAUGGCAAACUGGAACAAUGACAUGCACAUACAAAUUCUGUCCAAAUGGAGCAGCACACAAAAGGGUAGUAUACAUUUGUAAACAUGUGAUAAUGAUAAUUAAUAUCACCAAUGAAUUUACAUACAGCCUUUAGUUCUAAGCCCUAGAUCAGGAGAAGGCAACCUUUUGCACUCCAUAAUUUGUGGACUACUUUGAUGCUCUUAUACUUAUAAUGCUGGUAAAGCAUCAGGGGAGAUGUAGUGCAAAUCAUCUGCAGUGCCGAAGGUUGCCUACCCCUAAGCUAGAUCAUGUGAUUGAAAAUACCAUCAGUUCCUUUAAUACAACCAUUUAUGAUAAUGUCUUAGAUAUGCCAAAAGCCUAACAUAUGUUGUUCACAUCUAAAAGAACAAGGAAUAACACCAUUUAAUAAUCAAUACAUUUUGUUUAAAAAUAUUUUAAAUAUUUGGAGUCAUCACCAACUACAAGCACAAACUAAAAAGAUUUGGACUCAAACUCAUAGUCUUGUAGAAUGCCCUUUUAACAAAGAGUUAAAGCCACUUCAUCCUGGUUUCUUGGAAUCCAGAAAGAUAUUUGAUACAAAGACUCUCCAUGAUGAAAAUGUUGAGGCAGAUAAAGCACAGGAUAAAUACCCUUCAAAAUGCAGGUCUUACUGCUCUCAGUCUUCAGAUGACAAGCGGUGCCCUUGACCGUGAGCUUGUCAGUACAGUGUCAGUCUGCCAGCUAAGGACUUGACACAUGACAAUAAAUCAGCACUCAUGUCAACCCGUGCAGCCGCUCCACGAAAACAUCAAGCAUAUCUUCGAAAUAAUAGGAAAUUUACUGAUCCUCCACAGGUGACAAUUAAUUGGGAUCUAAAAACACACAGACAUUUCUUCGCUAGUUUAAACUGAUUACUUUGGGGAACUUUUACAUAAACCUCGUAUUUGUCUGUUUAAUUUGUAUUGUCUUUAGAUUGUACUGUCUUUUUCCCCAGUUGUACUGCGCUGAGGAAUUUGUUGGCGCUUUAUAAAUGGCAGUAAUAAAUAAAAUAUAAAUAAAUAAAAGAGCUCUGCCUAACCCUGGUUCUUAUAGGGUUAAAGGCGGAUAAGCUUGUCUGUAGAUCAUUACGCAGCAAAUAAGGGUAUAUAUGUUAAGAUCUAGGGCAGCAAUAUCCCUAAUAAAACUGCUGAUAACAUCCCUUAUUGCCUUCUAAGCAGGUACAGCCUCUGAUCUGAGCCUCAUCUGCUUCUCUUGAGAUUAUAUCUGUGUGUCAACAGCAAGCUGAGAGGCCAGUAAUUAAUCCCUUGCUGGCAGAGCCGCAUCAUGCCUGUGUCACCUUCAUAUCCCCUUCUCAGAACACGAUUACAAGCGGGGAGAGGUGUGCAAAGAGGGAGGAAGAGGACAAAUCCUCAAGGGCAAAAAAUAUAGGAGCUACAAAUCUAUACAGAUCUCACACGACACCCAUGCAUUCUACAUCUAUGAAAUUCUUUAGAAAUAACAUUAACAAGGUCACAGCCAGAAGAAAAAAUUGACUUGCCAAGAGUGGAAAGCUGUUAGCCCGCCUAAUGUUAUUC